GAUGAACGCUGGCGGCGUGCCUAAUACAUGCAAGUCGAGCGAACGGACGAGAAGCUUGCUUUUCUGAUGUUAGCGGCGGACGGGUGAGUAACACGUGGAUAACCUACCUAUAAGACUGGGAUAACUUCGGGAAACCGGAGCUAAUACCGGAUAAUAUUUUGAACCGCAUGGUUCAAAAGUGAAAGACGGUCUUGCUGUCACUUAUAGAUGGAUCCGCGCUGCAUUAGCUAGUUGGUAAGGUAACGGCUUACCAAGGCAACGAUGCAUAGCCGACCUGAGAGGGUGAUCGGCCACACUGGAACUGAGACACGGUCCAGACUCCUACGGGAGGCAGCAGUAGGGAAUCUUGCGCAAAAGGCGAAAGCCUGACGGAGCAACGCCGCGUGAGUGAUGAAGGUCUUCGGAUCGUAAAACUCUGUUAUUAGGGAAGAACAUAUGUGUAAGUAACUGUGCACGUCUUGACGGUACCUAAUCAGAAAGCCACGGCUAACUACGUG
rnacentral:rRNA from 1 species